rnacentral:lncRNA from 1 species
UGUUCUCUGUUACCCUGGUUUUGCCACCUGGGAGGAGUUACACAUAUUGCAGGUUAGUGAGUCCACGCCUCUUCUCUUCUGGGGAAAAGGGUACUUUGGAAACCAAUAUUAUGUGGGAACGUGGCUUGGUUGGUACAGCCUCGGCUUAACAGGAGACAGCUGCCUUCAGCUCUACAGGUGGCCUCAAAUACGGUGGCCUCGAGCCCACAUGGGUCACACCUGGGCUGUCCCUGGGGAAGCCCGCCACAGCGGGUCGCCUGGGCAUUCUUUCCCUGGCAGAGCCGAAGUCACAAUUUUUUUGUAGACUGUAAAGAGCUUUACCCUUCCGAGAUAUGAUCUUGAACCUGUUGGAGCAUUUGGACGCAUUUCUUUUAAGGAAGUUCACCUCCAGAUGUGCUCAGAGGGCCUGGUCUUAGCUGCCACAGAUUUACAAAUUCUUACAAACCCAAGGAUUGAGAACAAUGGACUUUUUGAUGUGUGUUGCAACAAACGCAUAGCCGAGGGCUGUAAAUCGGAGGGAUCACCAGGUCUGCCUACCAGC